CAUCUUGCAACCUAGAGUAGGGUUUUCUUCGGGCAGAUGACAGGUGUGCAUGUUGUUGCCACUGUGUCGGAGAGUUGGGUAAGUCCGCAACGAGCGCAACCCUUGAUCUUAGUUGCCUUCAUUAAGUUGGGCACUUUAAGGUGACUGCCGUGGACAAACCGGAGGAAGGUGGGGAUGACGUCAAAUCAUCAUGCCCCUUAUGACUUGGGCUACACACGUGCUACCAAUGGACGGUACAAAGAGCUGCAAGACCGCGAGGUGGAGCUAAUUUCAUAAAACCGUUUUCAGUUCGGAUUGUAGGCUGCAACUCGCCUACAUGAAGCUGGAAUCGUUAGUAAUCGCGGAUCACCAUGCCGCGGUGAAUACGUUCCCGGCCCUUGUACACACCGCCCGUCACACCACGAGAGUUUGUACCACCCGAAGUCGGUGGGGUAACCUCUGGAGCCAGCCG
rnacentral:rRNA from 1 species